rnacentral:rRNA from 1 species
UACAGAGGUCUCAAGCGUUGUUCGGAUUCAUUGGGCGUAAAGGGUGCGUAGGUGGCGGAGGCAAGUCUGGUGUGAAAUCCCGGGGCUCAACCCCGGAACUGCACUGGAUACUACUUUGCUAGAGUACUGGAGAGGAGAUUGGAAUUUACGGUGUAGCAGUGAAAUGCGUAGAUAUCGUAAGGAAGACCAGUGGCGAAGGCGAAUCUCUGGACAGUUACUGACACUGAGGCAGCGAAGGCCAGGGG